GAUGGUAACCUUGAGAAGAAAUCGAUCGUCAAGGAGAGCUAGUGGACGCUGGAAAAGAAGACGAAGGUUCGAUACAACGCGUCUAGGUCGACACUAAUCGGGAGACGUUAGCCACUUAAAACGACGUUUGGGGCAACGACUUGUACGGUCGUCUCAUACACGRGAAUAGUAGCAAGGGAAAGGAGAAAGUUUAGA